UUAUUACUGCAGCUUGAUUCCGUUUAAGUUCAUAUUGCUUGAAAGGAAAAGUUUCCGUGCAAAGGUGCAUCUUUGUCUUCAGGUUUUUAAAGAAUUAAGAAGUUAGACAAUUUUUCAAGAACUCCCGUUUCAUCAUUUGAAGCAAUGGAUGGAAAUAGAAUUUCUACAUUUUACUUAUCCAUUGAAGUGCAAAGAAGAUUGUGAGGAGGAAGGAUAUCGCUCCACUAAAGGAAGGACUUUGUAUUUUAUAUAUUAUGUAGUUUAUAUUUUAAUGUAAGUUUCAAUUUAAUUUGUAUGUGAAAUGGUACGAUAUAUUGCAAUACAAUUUUAUUUUCGAAA